GAAGGAAUUGUUUAUCAUGAGCUUCCUAGAGAAGAAAAAAAAAACAGUUUCCUGGACCCCAUCCAGAUAAAAACAUAGCUUAUCAAAGAUAGUACAGUAUGUUGCAAUACAGAAACAAAAAUAUUGAUUUAAGUGUAUCCUAUUAGUGAUUAGAGAUUUAUAAUGAACAAAAGUUAACUAGGCAUUACUAACAUUCAAAUGGACAGAAACAAAUUGUUCUAUACUAACUGAUUUUAAUUGUUCUUUUAAAA